AUAUCAAUAAGCGGAGGAAAAGAAACCAACAGGGAUUGCCUUAGUAACGGCGAGUGAAGCGGCAAAAGCUCAAAUUUGAAAUCUGGCGCCUUCGGUGUCCGAGUUGUAAUUUGAAGAAGGCUACUUUGGAGUUGGCUCUUGUCUAUGUUCCUUGGAACAGGACGUCACAGAGGGUGAGAAUCCCGUGCGAUGAGAUGCCCAAUUCUUUGUAAAGUGCUUUCGAAGAGUCGAGUUGUUUGGGAAUGCAGCUCUAAGUGGGUGGUAAAUUCCAUCUAAAGCUAAAUAUUUGCGAGAGACCGAUAGCGAACAAGUACAGUGAUGGAAAGAUGAAAAGAACUUUGAAAAGAGAGUGAAAAAGUACGUGAAAUUGUUGAAAGGGAAGGAUUUGAGAUCAGACUUGGUAUUUUGCAACCUUACCCUCGUGGUGGGGCCCCUGCAGUUUACUGGGCCAGCAUCAGUUUGGAUGAUGGGAUAAUGACUAAGGAAUGUGGCUCUGCUUCGGUGGAGUGUUAUAGACUUGGUUGAUACCGUCUAUCUAGACUGAGGACUGCGUCUUUUGACAAGGAUGUUGGCA
rnacentral:rRNA from 1 species